rnacentral:rRNA from 1 species
UACGGGGGGGGCAAGCGUUGUUCGGAAUUACUGGGCGUAAAGGGCUCGUAGGCGGCCAACUAAGUCCGACGUGAAAUCCCAAGGCUUAACCUUGGAACUGCGUCGGAUACUGGAUGGCUUGAGUUUGGGAGAGGGAUGCGGAAUUCCAGGUGUAGCGGUGAAAUGCGUAGAUAUCUGGAGGAACACCGGUGGCGAAGGCGGCGUUCUGGACUGCAACUGACACUGAGGAACGAAAGCCAGGGGAGCAAACGGG